UAACAGGUGUGUUUGUUCCAGGUGUGGCUGUCCCAACAGGUGUGCUAACAGGUGUGUUUGUUCCAGGUGUGGCUGUCCCGACAGGUGUGCUAACAGGUGUGUUUGUUCCAGGUGUGGCUGUCCCGACAGGUGCCCUCCAGUCUGGACCCCCUGUGUAAGUACACCAGCAGGUGUAAGGUGUGGGGGACGGCCUACGUGGACAGGGAGAAACUG